rnacentral:lncRNA from 1 species
UAGACUUUCAUAUUUUUAAACAGCAUUUUGUACCCUACACUGGAUUCCCAGGGCCAGGAAGAAAAGGAGUGAACAGUGGAAGGGCACCUAUAAGAGCUUUCCACCAGGAUAUCAUCCACCUCAGAGACUUGAAUCCCCUGGGACUCACCAAACAGCUUGCAAGCCAUGUUCACCCACGUGACACAUCACCUACCUCGUACUCCUCCUUCAAACCUCUGUGUUCACCGGUGCCUUCCUCUCCAGGCCUUCCACACAAAUCAUUGACUCGCUCUUGGAUUUCUACAUUUCUCCUUGGGAACAAAGGACAAAGCUGAUUUAAGUGCAGGGAGCCUGUCAGUGGAGCAGAAGCGGGAAAUGAGGAUGGAAACAAUUACAAAUUAAAAAC